UUUCAGUGAAUCAUCGAAUCUUUGANCGCACCUUGCGCCCCUUGGUAUUCCGAGGGGCAUGCCUGUUUGAGUGUCAUU
rnacentral:rRNA from 1 species